UGUGGCCUACGGGGGGCAGCAGUCGAGAAUCAUUCACAAUGGGGGAAACCCUGAUGGUGCGACGCCGCGUGGGGGAAUGAAGGUCUUCGGAUUGUAAACCCCUGUCAUGUGGGAGCAAAUUAAAAAGAUAGUACCACAAGAGGAAGAGGCGGCUAACUCUGUGCCAGCAGCCGAGGUAAUACAGAGGUCCCAAGCGAUGUUCGGAAUGACUGGGCGUAAAGCGCGCGUAGGCUGUUUCGUAAGU
rnacentral:rRNA from 1 species